rnacentral:rRNA from 1 species
UACGUAGGGUGCGAGCGUUGUCCGGAAUUAUUGGGCGUAAAGAGCUUGUAGGCGGUUUGUCGCGUCUGCUGUGAAAAUUCAGGGCUUAACCCUGGACGUGCAGUGGGUACGGGCAGACUAGAGUGUGGUAGGGGAGACUGGAAUUCCUGGUGUAGCGGUGGAAUGCGCAGAUAUCAGGAGGAACACCGAUGGCGAAGGCAGGUCUCUGGGCCAUUACUGACGCUGAGAAGCGAAAGCAUGGGGAGCGAACAGGAUUAGAUACCCUCGUAGUCC